rnacentral:tRNA from 1 species
GCCGCCGUAGCUCAGGGGUAGAGCACACCCUUGGUAAGGGUGGGGUCGAAGGUUCGAUUCCUUCCGGCGGCACCA